GUUAAGACCGUCAUUUUCCCAUCUCCAAUCUACUUGUUCCUGCUCUUCAACUGAUCAAAUCAAACCCAGAGAGGAGUUGGAUAAAGCUCUCUUGAAGCUUUGAGACAUCGUAAUUUCCUCCAAAAUCAUUCUCUCAUACCCAGUUACCCACACCCACACCACGGCGCAACCCCAACCACAUCCUCUGCAACUCCAACCACAUCCUACCACUCCCUCUGCAACCCCAACCACAUACUCCGCAACCCCCUCAUCUUCUCCGUCCGCCGUCACCACCACUUUGCCGCCAACCAUCACGACUUCCCCGUCAAUCAUCACCAAAUUCGUUCAUUCGUCAUCGAUCUCCCUCUGCUAAGGCAAUGAGGUGCACAAAAGUGAAAUGGAAGAAAUGAAAGAAGGUCACAUUGGUUAAUUCCGGCAACACCAUAAAAUGAGCUGCUGCAAUUUUUACUUCCUUGUAGCCUUUUUUUGGGCUUUGGGAAGGUAAAUACCCUCUAUAGACACGUAGAUAGAGACAUGUUUUAUGUUUGACCAAAUGCUUCAUGUCAAGCUAUACAUGUCGAAACGUCGGAUAGGAUUGGUUGUGCAGUGUGUCCGCUCAUCUUGAUCAUCUAACAGUAAAAAUUGCAACACCAAAUGAGCUGUUGCAAUUUUUACUUGAAGCCUUUUUUGGUCUUGGGGAAGGUAAAUACCCUCCAUAGACACGUAGAUAGAGACAUGUUUCAGUUUGGCCAAAUGCUUCAUGUCAAACUAUACAUAUCGAAACGCCAUAUAGGAUUCGUUGUGCAGUGUGUCCACUCAUCUUCAUCAUCUAACAGUGAAGUGGGAUCCUUUAAAGACCAUGAUAGCCCUCAGCCUUAGCCACAAGUGCUUGAUUUUGGAUUGGUAAUUAAUUGCUAGAUGUAUUUCAACUGGGGUUUACAGUUAAGUUUUCCUCGCAUUUCAUUUGGGAUUGGAAUGAAAUGCCCAAGUGACUGUGCCGUGCACUCCCGUUUCUAUAUGAAAACUAAUUUAAAUUUGUGUGUAAUGCCUUCAAUCUUGAUGAAUGCUGGUGGAUUACAUAAAUACUUGGACUGUUUGGUUGCCAAUGUGCAUGUCUUAGUCUUAUUUGUUUUCAUGGCAUUUGUAUGCUCAUUCCUUUCAUUAUAAGCACUAUAUAUAUUUUUCAAAAGUGAUUAUAAAUAUAUAACAUGGACAUGACACGAUUCCAUUUCUUUCCCUCUUCAGUGAUUUUUUGGGAUUUUUUAGCACAAUUGGGAACAAAUGGUAAUCCAAUAGUUGUUCGAAGAAAUGAACGCCUUUAGACAGGAAGUGAGCAUUGCAAAGAGUUGAGUAGUUAAUACUCUGUCAUGUUUAUGGUAGUGUGCUAACAGGAAGAUAAUUCCAUAUGAUAUUUUUGGCAGUAAGUACUUUGGAUAUUUGAUUGCUCUGUACGCAAAUUAUAAAUUUAGUGAUCUUCUGUGUCUAAUGGGAGCAGUAGGUUUGGAUCUAAUUGGACAAUAGGAGUUUUUAAUGGUUUGGGAACAAUAGGUUUGCGUCAAAUGUUGAAGCAGUUAUAAUGUAAUUUGAGUAGCCAAGGUCACAUUAUCACGAGUAGAAAAAUCAUCCCUUUCUCCC